rnacentral:rRNA from 1 species
AUUGAACGCUGGCGGCAGGCCUAACACAUGCAAGUCGAGCGGAGCGGCGGACGGGUGAGUAAUGCCUAGGAAUCUGCCUGGUAGUGGGGGAUAACGUACGGAAACGGGCGCUAAUACCGCAUACUAUCAGAUGAGCCUAGGUCGGAUUAGCUAGUUGGUGGGGUAAAGGCCUACCAAGGCGACGAUCCGUACCUGGUCUGAGAGGCUGAUCAGUCACAUUGGAACUGAGACACGGGCCAGACUCCUACGGGAGGCAGCAUUGGGGAAUAGUGGCCAAUGGGCGAAAGCCUGAGCCAGCCAUGCGGCGUGUGUGAAGAAGGUCUUCGGAUUGUAAAGCACUUUAAGUUGGGAGGCGUUACCAACAGAAUAAGCACCGGCUAACUACGUGCCAGCAGCCGCGGUAAUUC